rnacentral:pre_miRNA from 1 species
AGGAAGGUUUCAGACGCUCGCCAGCGUUGCACCACCAAAACUUGCAAAAGUUCUGAUGGUGCCACGCUGUGUGCGUCUAAAAUCUCUU